rnacentral:ncRNA from 1 species
AUAAAAGCGUUGAAGGAGAGGAGUAGGUAAACAACCUUAAAAGAGAGCAAAACCCAUUGGCUGAAAGGUUUUGCAAGGCAAUGUUUACUGAAGGUAGCUCUGGAGCUUCUAGGCCGAACUUCAAGUAAGCCUAGACGGUUUUACCGUUAUUUGAUAAACGAGAGCCAGAUAUGUCUCAUAUCUGGAAAUAAGGUGGUACCGCGAAAAAGCCCUUCGUCCUUAUG